rnacentral:rRNA from 1 species
UACGUAGGGUGCAAGCGUUGUCCGGAAUUAUUGGGCGUAAAGAGCUCGUAGGCGGCUUGUCGCGUCUGCUGUGAAAACUGGAGGCUCAACCUCCAGCCUGCAGUGGGUACGGGCAAGCUAGAGUGCGGUAGGGGAGAUUGGAAUUCCUGGUGUAGCGGUGGAAUGCGCAGAUAUCAGGAGGAACACCGAUGGCGAAGGCAGAUCUCUGGGCCGUUACUGACGCUGAGGAGCGAAAGCAUGGGGAGCGAACAGG